rnacentral:rRNA from 1 species
AGGAUGAGCCCGCGGCCCAUUAGCUAGUUGGUAGGGUAACGGCCUACCAAGGCUAUGAUGGGUAGCUGGUCUGAGAGGACGAUCAGCCACACUGGAACUGAGACACGGUCCAGACUCCUACGGGAGGCAGCAGUGGGGAAUAUUGCGCAAUGGGCGAAAGCCUGACGCAGCAACGCCGCGUGGGGGAUGAAGGUUUUCGGAUUGUAAACCCCUUUCGACCGGAACGAAUCUCCUCUUGGUAAAUAAUCAGGAGGAUCGACGGUACCGGGAGAAGAAGCCACGGCUAACUCUGUGCCAGCAGCCGCGGUAAGACAAAAGUGGCGAGCGUUGUUCGGAUUUAUUGGGCGUAAGCGAACGCA